rnacentral:rRNA from 1 species
CAGCCGCCACGGUAAUACGUAGGGGGCAAGCGUUAUCCGGAUUUACUGGGUGUAAAGGGAGCGUAGACGGAAUGGCAAGUCUGAAGUGAAAUACCCGGGCUCAACCUGGGAACUGCUUUGGAAACUGUUGUUCUAGAGUGUUGGAGAGGUAAGUGGAAUUCCUGGUGUAGCGGUGAAAUGCGUAGAUAUCAGGAAGAACACCGGAGGCGAAGGCGGCUUACUGGACAAUAACUGACGUUGAGGCUCGAAAGCGUGGGGACCAAACAGGAUUAGAUACCCCAGUAGUCCCUGUCUCUUAUAC